rnacentral:lncRNA from 1 species
UCCCUCAAACCGAAGAUUUCUCUCAAAUCUCUCUCCCCACCAAUUUUCACCCUUCAAAUCAUCUGUUUAGGAACCAACUUUCUCUCCUCUUUCUUUCUCAUUUGGGCGAUUCGAGUUUGCCCUAGAUUCUACCCCUCUUCUCCAAACUGAUGAUUUAGCUCCUCAAAAUCUUUGCUUUUUCUUCUAAAAUCUUUUUCUUUCUACCUCUCAUUUAGUCUCCUAAGCUCCUUGCAAGUCUCUUUUAUUCAAAUGGCUCCCAAAAUGAAGCUACCACAAAGAAAAAAAUCUGUUCGC